rnacentral:rRNA from 1 species
UACGGAGGGUGCGAGCGUUGUUCGGAAUCAUUGGGCGUAAAGGGCGUGCAGGCGGCCAGACAAGUCUGAUGUGAAAGCCCGGGGCUCAACCCCGGAAGUGCAUUGGAAACUGUAUGGCUUGAGUACCGGAGAGGAUGGGGGAAUUCCCGGUGUAGAGGUGAAAUUCGUAGAGAUCGGGAGGAAUACCAGUGGCGAAGGCGCCCAUCUGGACGGAUACUGACGCUGAGACGCGAAAGCGUGGGGAGCAAACAGG